rnacentral:misc_RNA from 1 species
CCUAUUUGACAUAUAUACUUCUUAUCCAUCAUGCUUUAUAUCAUAAUCAAGUAAUUUUCUGCUGAUAUGAGAAACUUUUACAAGGUGUAGUGAGGCACCUUAAAGGUCUGGCAUAUUAUGUGUAAUUUGAUCCUGCUGAUGCUGAGCUGAAACACAACGUGUGCAUAUUAUUAGGAAAUUUUGAUUCUAUAAAUCUUCUCGGAAUUUCAACCCUUUUGAAAUUUGGCCAUAUAUUUUAUAUACAUGUAGUAUUGAACAAUCUCUCUUACACCGGUGCCCAGAAUUUAUUGAAUCAAAAGUAGAUGUAUAAUUAGCCAAUAAAUUCUGAUUCCAUUUG